GACGAACGCUGGCGGCGUGCUUAACACAUGCAAGUCGAACGGAAAGGCCCUGCUUUUGUGGGGUGCUCGAGUGGCGAACGGGUGAGUAACACGUGAGUAACCUGCCCUUGACUUUGGGAUAACUUCAGGAAACUGGGGCUAAUACCGGAUAGGAGCUCCUGCUGCAUGGUGGGGGUUGGAAAGUUUCGGCGGUUGGGGAUGGACUCGCGGCUUAUCAGCUUGUUGGUGGGGUAGUGGCUUACCAAGGCUUUGACGGGUAGCCGGCCUGAGAGGGUGACCGGCCACAUUGGGACUGAGAUACGGCCCAGACUCCUACGGGAGGCAGCAGUGGGGAAUAUUGCACAAUGGGCGGAAGCCUGAUGCAGCAACGCCGCGUGCGGGAUGACGGCCUUCGGGUUGUAAACCGCUUUCGCCUGUGAGGAAGCGUGAGUGACGGUAAUGGGUAAAGAAGCACCGGCUAACUACGUGCCAGCAGCCGCGGUGAUACGUAGGGUGCGAGCGUUGUCCGGAUUUAUUGGGCGUAAAGGGCUCGUAGGUGGUUGAUCGCGUCGGAAGUGUAAUCUUGGGGCUUAACCCUGAGCGUGCUUUCGAUACGGGUUGACUUGAGGAAGGUAGGGGAGAAUGGAAUUCCUGGUGGAGCGGUGGAAUGCGCAGAUAUCAGGAGGAACACCAGUGGCGAAGGCGGUUCUCUGGGCCUUUCCUGACGCUGAGGAGCGAAAGCGUGGGGAGCGAACAGGCUUAGAUACCCUGGUAGUCCACGCUGUAAACGGUGGGUACUAGGUGUGGGGUCCAUUCCACGGGUUCCGUGCCGUAGCUAACGCUUUAAGUACCCCGCCUGGGGAGUACGGCCGCAAGGCUAAAACUCAAAGGAAUUGACGGGGCCCCGCACAAGCGGCGGAGCAUGCGGAUUAAUUCGAUGCAACGCGUAGAACCUUACCUGGGUUUGACAUGGAUCGGGAGUGCUCAGAGAUGGGUGUGCCUCUUUUGGGGUCGGUUCACAGGUGGUGCAUGGCUGUCGUCAGCUCGUGUCGUGAGAUGUUGGGUUAAGUCCCGCAACGAGCGCAACCCUUGUUCACUGUUGCCAGCACGUUAUGGUGGGGACUCAGUGGAGACCGCCGGGGUCAACUCGGAGGAAGGUGGGGAUGACGUCAAGUCAUCAUGCCCCUUAUGUCCAGGGCUUCACGCAUGCUACAAUGGCUGGUACAGAGAGUGGCGAGCCUGUGAGGGUGAGCGAAUCUCGGAAAGCCGGUCUCAGUUCGGAUUGGGGUCUGCAACUCGACCUCAUGAAGUCGGAGUCGCUAGUAAUCGCAGAUCAGCAACGCUGCGGUGAAUACGUUCCCGGG
rnacentral:rRNA from 1 species